rnacentral:rRNA from 1 species
AUUGAACGCUGGCGGCAUGCCUUACACAUGCAAGUCGAACGGCAGCACGGGAGCAGUCCUGGUGGCGAGUGGCGAACGGGUGAGUAAUAUAUCGGAACGUGCCCAGUCGUGGGGGAUAACGCAGCGAAAGCUGUGCUAAUACCGCAUACGGUCUAUGGAUGAAAGCGGGGGAUCGCAAGACCUCGCGCGAUUGGAGCGGCCGAUAUCAGAUUAGGUAGUUGGUGGGGUAAAAGCCCACCAAGCCGACGAUCUGUAGCUGGUCUGAGAGGACGACCAGCCACACUGGAACUGAGACACGGUCCAGACUCCUACGGGAGGCAGCAGUGGGGAAUUUUGGACAAUGGGCGCAAGCCUGAUCCAGCAAUGCCGCGUGCAGGAUGAAGG